rnacentral:sRNA from 1 species
AUCUUGCUGAUAUACCACUUUCUUUGUUUCGACCUACAAGAACAAAUAAAAUUAAUAUACAUAUUAUCUGUGCUUAGCUUUGUUUACAAAUUUACACCAUAAUCUGCACAUUCUAACACUCAGAUGAAAAUUAUAUAAUAAGAAGCUAAAUCUGAAAUUCUGAGGCACAUAAAUAAGAGAGAUAAAAACUAAACUCAACUGCUUUUUUAAAGGAAUAAGUUGAGAAAUGAUACAUUUUUUGAAUAUAAUUAUAAAAGUAGUACGGGUACUAUUCAUAAUAGGUGAUUACCCCGGGACCACCGUUCUAUGAGAUACAGAAGUCUUGAGAUACAGAAAAAAUGGGCAAUAUUCGCUUUUGUGGAAAUUACGGUAAGGGGCUUCCUUUGUUUUACAUAAAAUCAUUUCCCACUAAAAGAAUAAAGAGGAGGUCUUAUGGAGAGAGAGCCUGUGUGAGAGAAUUAGAGUAUAGGUGAGGUUUUUUUAUAUUUUCUUUUUCUUUAUUUAUGAUAUUUCAUUCUCCCAUAUUUUAAGAAUUAAAAUGCUCGUUUGUAAAUUUUAUUUUCUUAAAAUUGAUCAUAUACAUUAAAAUCUAUGUUUUUUUCUCUAUCAUUUGAUAUGUAUUUUGUUUAAUUAUUUUUAAAUUUUAUAUUAUUGAGCAGUGUACAGAUAUAGACUACUGAACAAAUAUCGACCACUGUACAGAUAUUACUAUGCAUUUCUUUUUUUCUCUCUUUCAAGUUAGAUUUUUCUGCUCGUCAAUCAAUAAUUUAGUCGUUGGUUGAUUUUGAUCUAUAGGUUAAUAGGGCUGCUAAUACAGAAUUUUGUGGUUGGCUUCGAAUCAUGUACAUACUAACUGGCUACGGUUGGGCUUAAAUUUUAUGUGAUGUUUGUUGCUGCUGGUAAUAUCCUUGUUUAUAUUCGAUUAGUGUUAUUUUGUGUUUAACCGCAAACCUCUCCUCUCACAACCACAAAUCAUUGGAAAUAAAUAAGCAUACAGUGUUAGCUAGUCUCUAAACCAAUUGAAUAAAGAGAAUAAAAAACUAUAUUGUUGAAAUACCAGAAAAAAAA